rnacentral:rRNA from 1 species
GACGAACGCUGGCGGCGUGCUUAACACAUGCAAGUCGAACGGGCCCGCCCCUGUUUUUGGGGGUGGGUUGAGUGGCGAACGGGUGAGUAUCACGUGAGUAACCUGCCCCCUGCUCCUGGAUAACUGCUUGAAAGGGCGGCUAAUACGGGGUGUGCCGGCUGGUCCGCAUGGGCCUGGUCGGGAUAGUUUCAUCUUCGGGUGUUUCGGUGGGGGAUGGGCUCGCGGCCUAUCAGCUUGUUGGUGGGGUGAUGGCCCACCAAGGCGGUGACGGGUAGCCGGCCUGAGAGGGUGGGCGGCCACCCUGGGACUGAGCCACGGCCCCGACUCCUGCGGGAGGCAGCAGUGGGGGGUAUUGCACAAUGGGCGGAAGCCUGAUGCAGCGACGUCGCGUGAGGGAUGGAGGCCUUCGGGUUGUGAACCUCUUUCUCCGGUGGUGAAGGCCCUGUCCGUUGCGGCGGGGUUGACGGUAGCCGGGUAUGAAGCGCCGGCUAACUACGUG